CCAAUAGCGUAUAUUAAAGUUGUUGCAGUUAAAAAGCUCGUAGUUGAAUUUUGGGUCUGGCCGGGCGGUCCGCCUUCUGGGUGAGUACUGUUCCGAUGUCGGACCUAUCCUUCUGGUGAGUCGGCAUGCCCUUUACUGGAUGUGUCGGGGAACCAGGACCAUUACCUUGAAAAAAUUAGAGUGUUCAAAGCAGGCGCAUGCUCGAAUACAUUAGCAUGGAAUAAUGAAAUAGGACGCGUGGUGCUAUUUUGUUGGUUUCUAGAACCGCCGUAAUGAUUAAUAGGGAUAGUUGGGGGCAUUAGUAUUAAAUUGUCAGAGGUGAAAUUCUUGGAUUUAUUGAAGACUAACUUCUGCGAAAGCAUUUGCCAAGGAUGUUUUCAUUAAUCAAGAACGAAAGUUAGGGGAUCGAAGACGAUCAGAUACCGUCGUAGUCUUAACCAUAAACUAUGCCGACUAGGAAUCGGGCGAUGUUAUUUUCACGACUCGCCCGGCGCCUUAUG
rnacentral:rRNA from 1 species